rnacentral:rRNA from 1 species
UUGUCUUUUAAAUAAAGACCAGUAUGAAUGGCAAGACGAAAGUUCAACUGUCUCCCUAAAUUAAUCAGUGAAAUUGAUUUUCCCGUGCAGAAGCGGGAAUAAAAUUAUAAGACGAGAAGACCCUAUGGAGCUUUAAAUAUAUGAUCAAUUGUAUAAUAUAAACCCCGAAAGAUAACAUAUUAAAUGAAACAUCGUGAUCAAAAUUUUAGGUUGGGGCGACCACGGAGAAAAGAAAAACCUCCGAGAUGAAAAGAUAUCUUAAUUUAUGAAUUACAAUUCUAAAAAAUAAAAUAUUUAACAUAAUUGAUCCAAUAGCUUGAUCAACGAACUAAGUUACCCUAGGGAUAACAGCGCAAUCCUUUCCAAGAGUCCUUAUCGACGAAUGGGUUUACGACCUCGAUGUUGGAUCAGGACACCCCAAUGGUGCAGUCGCUAUUAAAGGUUCGUUUGUUCAACGAUUAAAGU